GACGAACGCUGGCGGCGUGCUUAACACAUGCAAGUCGAACGGAAAGGCCUUUUCGGAGGUACUCGAGUGGCGAACGGGUGAGUAACACGUGGGUGAUCUGCCCUGCACUCUGGGAUAAGCCUGGGGAACUGGGUCUAAUACCGGAUAGGACCGCACUUUAGUGUGUGUGGUGGAAAGUUUUUUCGGUGUAGGAUGAGCCCGCGGCCUAUCAGCUUGUUGGUGGGGUAAUGGCCUACCAAGGCGGCGACGGGUAGCCGGACUGAGAGGUUGGUCGGCCACAUUGGGACUGAGAUACGGCCCAGACUCCUACGGGAGGCAGCAGUGGGGAAUAUUGCGCAAUGGGCGCAAGCCUGAUGCAGCGACGCCGCGUGGGGGAUGACGGCCUUCGGGUUGUAAACUCCUUUCGCCAGGGACGAAGCGUUUUGUGACGGUACCUGGAGAAGAAGCACCGGCUAACUACGUG
rnacentral:rRNA from 1 species